rnacentral:rRNA from 1 species
CCUACGGGGUGCAGCAGUGGGGAAUAUUGCGCAAUGGGCGAAAGCCUGACGCAGCGACGCCGCGUGAGGGAUGAAGGUCUUCGGAUCGUAAACCUCUGUCAGCAGGGAAGAACGGUCACUGUGCUAAUCAGCAGUGAAUUGACGGUACCUGCAAAGGACGCACCGGCUAACUCCGUGCCAGCAGCCGCGGUAAUACGGAGGGUGCGAGCGUUAAUCGGAGUUACUGGGCGUAAAGCGCUCGUAGGCGGUAUGUCAAGUCAAGGGUGAAAUCCCCGCGCUCAACGUGGGAACUGCCUUUGAAACUGGCAAACUGGAGUGUGUGAGAGGAUAGUGGAAUUCGAGGUGUAGGAGUGAAAGCCGUAGAUAUCUGGAGGAACAUCAGUGGCGAAGGCGACUAUCUGGCACAUAACUGACGCUGAGGAGCGAAAGCGUGGGUAGCAAACAGGAUUAGAUACCCCGGUAGUC